rnacentral:ncRNA from 1 species
UUAUUAUCAACUCAUCCUCAAUUUACACAUGCAAGUAUCAGCACACCCGUGAGAACGCCCUUCACCUUUUCAGGACAAGGAGCUGGUAUCAGGCACAGAUUUCAACUCUAGCCCAUAACACCUAGCUUUGCCACACCCUCAAGGGUAUUCAGCAGUGAUUAACCUUGUUAAUAAGCGCCAGCUUGACUCAGUUAGAGGACUUAGAGCCGGCUAAUACGGUGCCAGCCGCCGCGGCUACACCGCUAGGCUCAAGUUGAUAAUACUCGGCGUUAAGCGUGUUUAAAGUACCAAAAGACUAGAACUAAACUUCAACCAAGUUGUGACACACUUGUUUUAAAGAAACCCGAAAACGAAAGUUGUUCUAACCUGACUACUUGAACCCACGACAGCUAGGGCACAAACUGGGAUUAGGUACCCCACUAUGCCUAGCCGUAAAAUAUUAACCUACACCACUUAACCGCCAGGGAAUUACGAGCCCAAGCUUAAAACCCAAAGGACUUGACGGUGUCCCACCCCCCUAGAGGAGCCUGUCUAUAAUCGAUUCUCCCCGAUAUACCCGACCAUUUUUGGCCUAUCAGCCUGUAUACCUCCGUCGUAAGCUUACCAUAUGAACGACUUAGUGAGCUAAAAGAUUUUUCGUAAAUACGUCAGGUCAAGGUGCAGCCCACGAAAUGGCAAGCAAUGGGCUACAAUUUCUAUGCUAGAACACAACGAAAGGCUGUGUGCAACCCAGUCUUGAAGGCGGAUUUAGUAGUAAAAAGGAAGUAGAGAGUCCUUUUUAAUUAGGCGCUGGGACGCGUACACACCGCCCGUCACCCUCUUCAUAAGUAUUAAACAAGUUUUUAACAAGAUUUUUCUAUGCAGAAGAGGUAAGUCGUAACACGGUAAGUGUACUGGAAAGUGCACUUGGAUUAACAAA